rnacentral:lncRNA from 1 species
GGGCGAUGGAAGAGGAGGGGGAUGGAGAGAAAGCAGGAAGAGAAAAAGAAAUUGAUAGCGAGGAGAAAGAAAUUGAUAGCGAGGAGGAAGAAGAAAAAAGAUGAAUAAGAGAUAAAGGCGAGAGAAAGAAAAAUAAGAAUAUUUUGGUCAGUUUACUAAAAUAUAGACCUAAUCUGUAAAAUCUAAAAAAAUAUAUACUUUUAUAAAAAUACAAAACCGAUGAGCUUUUUAUACAAAUUGAUUUUUUUUUUAUAAGGCACUCUCACAGAACAAUUUCAAAAAGGAGCAAAAUGACAAAUCACAUAAAUAUGAAGAAGAUUAAUUAUAAACUUUUCAAUAUUUAAAUGGGCAAUAGCUGAAAAUAUAAAGCGACUGGACUUUAAACUUAGGACCUUGGCUAUUAAUCAUCAAAUUCUUUUGGCACUUGCAUUAGGGUUGUUGGUAGUAUAAAACUUAUUGCAUGCAAUAAUAAUAUUGUUGAAGUUUUUUACAUUUUAGCCUAUUAGAAUAAAAAAAAUUGAAACUCGUUUUUACUAUCUGUUCCUAGUGUAAGUGACAAAGAGAUUGAUGGUUAAUAUUCGAGGUCCAUAUUCAAAAUUUAGUUACUUCACAUUUCAAUUUAAAUUUAUUUUUUAAAAAAUAAGCGAAGUGAAUAGCAUAUUUACCUUUUAUCUUAAAAAAUAUAUAUUUUUUUUAUUGUUCAUCAUGAGCACCUUUCAACGAUUCCGCAGUCAAAAGUUCAAAGUAGAAAUCUUU